rnacentral:rRNA from 1 species
AUUGAACGCUGGCGGCAGGCCUAACACAUGCAAGUCGAGCGAGCGUCGGACGGGUGCGUACUGUCUGGGAAACUGCCUGCUGGAGGGGGCUACCUACUGGAACCGGUAGCUAAUACCCCCUCCCCUCAGCUGUGCCCAGAUGGGAUUUGCUGGUAGGUUGGGUAACGGCUCACCUAGGCGACGAUCCCUAGCUGGGCUGAGAGGAUGACCAGCCACACUGGAACUGGGAAACGGGCCAGACUCCUACGGGAGGCAGCAGUGGGGAAUAGUGCACAAUGGGCGCAAGCCGGAUGCAGCCAUGCCGCGUGUGUGAAGAAGGCCUUCGGGUUGUAAAGCACUUUCAGCGGGGAGGCGUUAACCGCAGAAGAAGCACCGGCUAACUCCGUGCCAGCAGCCGCGGUAAUAC